rnacentral:lncRNA from 1 species
UAACUUUAGGUGCUGGGGUUUGAAUUUUGUUAUCUUAGAGCACUUUCAUUUGCCAUGGUAAAGGGUAAGGAUAAGUAAGGGCGGUUAUUGUUCACAUUAACAGUAUUUACUCUAGUAAAUAUUUUUGUUGUUUUUCCACCCAUUGCCAUGACAACUCAAGAGCAAUUACUAUUCACAUGGAAUUAAUAAAUAAAAAUUGCUAGGUAUAUAUAUGUAAACUCUGAAUUUUUUGGUUUUUUUUUUUCUCAAUUUUUUUCUUCACUAGCGUCAGCACCUCAGGCAAAAGCUCAGGUUGUUCUUGCCUUCAGGCUUGCCUAGUUUUAGUGGAGCCCACCUCCUACUCGGGCUGCAAUUCAUUGGUAGAGUGACUUUCACCAGCCCAGGAGGUCUUUUGCCUUGGCAAUUUGUAAUACUAGAACUGCUCUUACCCAUGUGGUUUAUCUUUAGGGAGCUUCACUAAUAUACCCAAAAUAGGGUCUGAAAUCAUUAAAAAACCUCAUAUGAAAUGCACUUUAGAAACACACUACUACAUAAAAAAUGAGUAUUGAAGUUCCUAUAAAUUACAUAACUGUCAUUGAUAAACUUAAAACAAGCCCAAUACAAAAAAC